rnacentral:rRNA from 1 species
AUUGAACGCUGGCGGCAGGCCUAACACAUGCAAGUCGAGCGAGCGGCGGACGGGUGAGUAAUGUAUGGGGACUGCCCGAUAGAGGGGGAUAACUACUGGAAACGGUGGCUAAUACCGCAUACUAUCGGAUAACCCAUAUGGGAUUAGCUAGUAGGUGGGGUAAAGGCUUACCUAGGCGACGAUCUCUAGCUGGUCUGAGAGGAUGAUCAGCCACACUGGGACUGAGACACGGCCCAGACUCCUACGGAGGCAGAAGUGGGGAAUAUUGCACAAUGGGCGAAAGCCGGAUGCAGCCAUGCCGCGUGAAUGAAGAAGGCCUUAGGGUUGUAAAGUACUUUCAUUAGGGAGGCGGUACCCGAAGAAGAAGCCACGGCUAACUCCGUGCCAGCAGCCGCGGUAAUUC